AGGGUCCUGACCUUCUAGAAGGGAGUUCAGAGUUGAUAUUAUCAGGAGAGUUGAAUAACAUCAACACAGCUGGUUGGUCACAGGAGCGCUUUUUCUUCCUCUUUGAUCAUCAAAUUGUUUAUUGUAAAAAGGAGUUGCUCAAGCGGCAUGUAUUUAGCUAUAAAGGAAGGAUAGAUCUAGAUCACUGUGAUAUUGUAGAUAUACCUGAUGGAAAAGAUAGCCAAUAUUAUGUGACAGUAAAACAUGCAUGGAAGUUUCAUGAGACACACAGAGAUAAAUGGUACCUUGUUUAUGCCAAAUCUGAGGCUGUCAAACAGUCCUGGCUAAAGGCAAUUAGAGAUGAGAGACAGCGGGUGCUUGAAGAUCAAG